UACGGAGGGUGCGAGCGUUGUCCGGAAUCACUGGGCGUAAAGGGCGCGUAGGCGGCCUGAUAAGUAGGGGGUGAAAUCCUGCGGCUUAACCGCAGGGCUGCCUUCUAAACCAUCUGGCUAGAGUCCGGGAGAGGAGAGUGGAAUUCCUGGUGUAGCGGUGAAAUGCGCAGAUAUCAGGAAGAACACCCGUGGCGAAAGCGGCUCUCUGGAACGGUACUGACGCUGAGACGCGAAAGCGUGGGGAGCGAACAGG
rnacentral:rRNA from 1 species